rnacentral:rRNA from 1 species
AAUAUUGGUCAAUGGGGGAAACCCUGAACCAGCAAUGCCGCGUGAGCGACGAAGGCCUUCGGGUUGUAAAGCUCUGUCCUUGGGGAAGAUAGUGACGGUACCCAAGAAGAAAGCCACGGCUAACUACGUGCCAGCAGCCGCGGUAAUACGUAGGGGGCAAGCGUUGUCCGGAUUUACUGGGCGUAAAGGGCGCGUAGGCGGUAGUUUAAGUCAGAUGUGAAAGUCCAGGGCUCAACCGUGGAAUUGCAUUUGAAACUGAAUUACUUGAGUGCAGGAGAGGAGAGCGGAAUUCCUAGUGUAGCGGUGAAAUGCGUAGAUAUUAGGAAGAACACCAGUGGCGAAGGCGGCUCUCUGGACUGUAACUGACGCUGAGGCGCGAAAGCGUGGGGAGCGAAC